rnacentral:rRNA from 1 species
UACGUAGGCAGCGAGCGUUGUUCGGAGUUACUGGGCGUAAAGAGUGCGUAGGCGGUUUUCUAAGUUUGGUGUGAAAUCUCCCGGCUCAACUGGGAGGGUGCGCCGAAGACUGGAAGGCUUGAGUAUGGGAGAGGUAAGCGGAAUUCCUGGUGUAGCGGUGAAAUGCGUAGAUAUCUGGAGGAACACCGGUGGCGAAGGCGGCAUCCUGGACCGGCAUUGACGCUGAGGCGCGAAGGCCAGGGGAGCAAACAGG